rnacentral:rRNA from 1 species
CCUACGGGUGACUGCAGUGAGGAAUAUUGGUCAAUGGGCGAGAGCCUGAACCAGCCAAGUCGCGUGAGGGAAGACGGUCCUAUGGAUUGUAAACCUCUUUUGCCGGGGAGCAAAAAGCGGUACGUGUACCGCAUCGAGAGUACCCGGAGAAAAAGCAUCGGCUAACUCCGUGCCAGCAGCCGCGGUAAUACGGAGGAUGCGAGCGUUAUCCGGAUUUAUUGGGUUUAAAGGGUGCGCAGGCGGCGAGUUAAGUCAGCGGUAAAAUUUCGGGGCUCAACCGCGCCCCGCAGUUGAAACUGGACGCCUUGAGUUCACAACAGGCAGGCGGAAUUCGUGGUGUAGCGGUGAAAUGCAUAGAUAUCACGAGGAACCCAGAUUGCGAAGGCAGCCUGCCGGGGUGCGACUGACGCUGAGGCUCGAAGGUGCGGGUAUCAAACAGGAUUAGAUACCCUGGUAGUC